CCCUUAGAUGUUCUGGGCCGCACGCGUGCUACACUGAGUGGAUCAGCGGGUCAGGUUGCGCGAAAGUGUUUCCUAAUCGUGAAAUCCGCUCGUGAUGGGGAUUGACGGUUGCAAUUUUCCGUCAUGAACGAGGAAUACCUUGUAAGCGCGGGUCAUCAUCCCGCGCUGAAUACGUCCCUGCCCUUUGUACACACCGCCCGUCGCUCCUACCGAUUGAGUGGUCCGGUGAGGCUUUGGGAUCUGAGCAAAGAGAGCGUUUCGCUCGUUUUGCCCGGAAAACUCAGUCGAACCUUAUCAUUUAGAGGAAGGAGAAGUCGUAACA
rnacentral:rRNA from 1 species